UACGUAGGGUGCGAGCGUUAAUCGGAAUUACUGGGCGUAAAGCGCGCGCAGGCGGUUUUGUAAGCCCGAUGUGAAAUCCCCGGGCUUAACCUGGGAAUGGCAUUUGGGACUGCAAGGCUCGAGUGCGGCAGAGGAGACUGGAAUUCCUGGUGUAGCAGUGAAAUGCGUAGAUAUCAGGAGGAACACCGGUGGCGAAGGCGGCAUCCUGGACCGGCAUUGACGCUGAUGAGCGAAAGCUAGGGGAGCAAACGGG
rnacentral:rRNA from 1 species